UGGGGAAUAUUGCACAAUGGGGGAAACCCUGAUGCAGCGACGCCGCGUGAGCGAAGAAGUAUUUCGGUAUGUAAAGCUCUAUCAGCAGGGAAGAAAAUGACGGUACCUGACUAAGAAGCACCGGCUAAAUACGUGCCAGCAGCCGCGGUAAUACGGAUGGUGCAAGCGUUAUCCGGAUUUACUGGGUGUAAAGGGAGCGUAGACGGAUAAGCAAGUCUGGAGUGAAAGCCCGGGGCUCAACCCCGGGACUGCUUUGGAAACUGUUAAUCUAGAGUGCUGGAGAGGUAAGUGGAAUUCCUAGUGUAGCGGUGAAAUGCGUAGAUAUUAGGAGGAACACCAGUGGCGAAGGCGGCUUACUGGACAGUGACUGACGUUGAGGCUCGAAAGCGUGGGGAGCAAACA
rnacentral:rRNA from 1 species